GAACACGGACCAAGGAGUCUAGCAUGUGCGCGAGUCAUUGGGAACGAUCUUAAACCCAGAGGCGCAAUGAAAGUGAACAGCGUCGCGCUUGCGCGACCGCAGGGAAGAUGACGUGCGGACCGUCGAGGGCCGCACGUCCGCAUUCCCGGGGCGUUUCGAGAAAUGCCUCCGUUGCGAUUAUCGAGACGCACCGAGAGCGUACACGCUGGGACCCGAAAGAUGGUGAACUAUGCCUGGUCAGGUCGAAGUCAGGGGAAACCCUGAUGGAGGACCGAAGCGAUUCUGACGUGCAAAUCGAUCGUCUGAACUGGGUAUAGGGGCGAAAGACUAAUCGAACUAUCUAAUAGCUGGUUCCAUCCGAAGUUUC
rnacentral:rRNA from 1 species